UUCAGAGAUUAGCUUCCCAGGCUAGAUGGUGUUUUUUUUAUUAGUAGCUUAAUUAACAAGUCUUCACUCAAGCUUCCAAGUACAACAUCUAAGUGAAAGUAUUUUGUUCCUAAGAAAAUCUCAGCUCUAGGUAAAUGAAAUUUUGUAGUGAUCCACAUCUUUAGGGAAAUCAUCAGUAGUAGCUUUGACUCAUCACUCUUGCAAAACCCAACACCAAGUGGAGAAAGAGAGUGGUGUGAGCCUGUGGAAGUCAUUGGAAUAGACUUGCCUUUCCUGGUCUUCUGGACUCUGCAAUGCUUAAAAGAGGUGAAUGGAGGCACUUGGAGAGGCCCAAGAAAAAAAAUGUAAGAACUAGGGCUGCCUUGAAAUUCACAGGAAGGUUUAAACUGGCUCCGACCCAAGGAGAAAGAAUCAGAUUGUGGUUGGCAAUUGACUGAAAGAGAAAGGGAAGAAAUUUAAGUCAUGUAAAAUUUUUGAAUAAAGGAGUUGGACUUAAGUUCAAUGCAUAGGAAUAAAAGAAGAAGGGAGUAAAUCCUCCUACUCAACCCUCCACCUGAAAACUACAUACACACUAAGGAUUCUGGUUCCUGGCUAAAAACCUUUCUGAUUUUCCAGGCCUGACCAUGGACAGAUACAAAGUCUUUCCCAGGUGAUUUGGCAGCAAUUCCCAUCGAGAAGUGGAAACUCUUUCUGUCCCCUGGGUCUCCCUUGGGACUUGGUUUGGCCAUAGAAUGCAACAGAAGGCUUUGUACGCCAGUUCUGAGCCUUGUCCUCAAGAAGCCCUGCACAUACAGGCUCUGUCUCAACAUCCUAACCAACCAUCCUGUGAACAACGCAGACCAGCCUGCUGGAAGAUGAAAGACCAUGUGGAAGAAAGUAUACUUAUCUUAGUUAAUGUUGUCCCAGUUCAUCCAGCUAUAGACAGCCAGCUACUGACCCUAGAUACAUGAGUGAACCAGGACUAGAAGAACCACCUAUUUGAUUCUAGCCUAAAUUGCCAACCUAUAAAUUAU
rnacentral:lncRNA from 1 species